GACGAACGCUGGCGGCGUGCUUAACACAUGCAAGUCGAACGAUGAAGCCUAGCUUGCUAGGUGGAUUAGUGGCGAACGGGUGAGUACUACGUGAGUAACCUACCUUUAACUCUGGGAUAAGCCUGGGAAACUGGGUCUAAUACCGGAUACGACCAAUCUCCGCAUGGGGUGUUGGUGGAAAGCGUUAUGUAGUGGUUAUAGAUGGGCUCACGGCCUAUCAGCUUGUUGGUGAGGUAACGGCUCACCAAGGCGACGACGGGUAGCCGGCCUGAGAGGGUGACCGGCCACACUGGGACUGAGACACGGCCCAGACUCCUACGGGAGGCAGCAGUGGGGAAUAUUGCACAAUGGGCGCAAGCCUGAUGCAGCGACGCCGCGUGAGGGAUGACGGCCUUCGGGUUGUAAACCUCUGUUAGCAGGGAAGAAGAGAAAUUGACGGUACCUGCAGAGAAAGCGCCGGCUAACUACGUGCCAGCAGCCGCGGUAAUACGUAGGGCGCGAGCGUUGUCCGGAAUUAUUGGGCGUAAAGAGCUUGUAGGCGGUUUGUCGCGUCUGCUGUGAAAGGCCGGGGCUUAACCCCGUGUACUGCAGUGGGUACGGGCAGACUAGAGUGCAGUAGGGGAGACUGGAACUCCUGGUGUAGCGGUGGAAUGCGCAGAUAUCAGGAAGAACACCGAUGGCGAAGGCAGGUCUCUGGGCUGUAACUGACGCUGAGAAGCGAAAGCAUGGGGAGCGAACAGG
rnacentral:rRNA from 1 species